rnacentral:lncRNA from 1 species
AAGAUCACCUAAUUCAUUUACAAAGAAAUACUGGAAAAUAUCUGAACACUUUCUUUUUCUUUUUUUUUUAAGGCAAGCUGAACGAAAAAUUCUCAUCUCAGCCACAUACAAGAUUCUUCCUCUGAUAUUCUGCACUCACUGGAGCUCCGCACAUGAUGAGAAGAAUGGAAGGGGAGAACAGAGAUAAAUCGUGUGCUGGCAUAAGCAGACUUGACUGCUAGAUUUCUUCAGUGCUAAUUUACCUCAGCACUUCUCCAGGAUGAGAGCACCUCACUCCAGUUAAAUGAGAUACUGCCCUUGAGAGGUGCUGAGUGCCUCCUUGGACUUGAAGAAUGUCCUGAAUUUCUACUGUCUUCAGUUAGAGGAGAGAGUACUCGGCACCAGGUGGGAUGAAGCAAAGGAGAGCUGAUUUACUGUACAAGAAGUGUCCUGUCUUGACCACAAAAAUACCGAGACAGUCAGUAAGGGAUCUAUAUCUAGCUCUGUGCCUGGAAAGCUAGAGGAAUCUUCAAGAAAACAAGGUGACCAGUAUAGGGAGUAGGCUCCACUGUAAAGAGUUGAACAGGAAGAAAAAGUGAACUUCAUGUAAAUGGAAUAACACUGAUGGCACUGUGAAGAGAGUAAGGGAAACCAAGAGUGAUACAAUCUCAAAGAAGCAUGGGUAAGUGCAGUGCAUGAAAGACAAAUUACUUUGAAUUUUUCACUCAUGCGGUAAAAUGCAAACAAUUAACAUAUUGGUGUAAGGUUACCUCUGGUACUUUCCAUCACACAAACAGGCUGUCUCACAGUCUAGGAAUGAUCUGGGAAUCAUCUGAAAAGUAGAUCAUUUUGAAAUAAUUGUGCCAACCCUGGACAGUGAAGCAAUAAGAAAUUUUAGAUUUGUGAGGAAGGGAGGACUGAGAAAGUCACGCUAUGAAAAGAUAUUGAACAAUGACCAAAAAAUGCAUAUGGACUGGAGACUGAGAAUAUGAGAUGUAAAAAAAGGCCAUUUGAGGUG